CCUACGGGAGGCAGCAGUGGGGAAUAUUGGGCAAUGGGCGCAAGCCUGACCCAGCAACGCCGCGUGAAGGAAGAAGCCUUUCGGGUUGUAAACUUCUUUUCUCAGGGACGAAGAAAGUGACGGUACCUGAGGAAUAAGCCACGGCUAACUACGUGCCAGCAGCCGCGGUAAUACGGAGGUGGCAAGCGUUAUCCGAAUUUACUGGGGGUAAAGGGCGUGUAGGCGGGACUGCAAGUCAGAGGUGAAAACCACGGGCUCAACCUGUGGCCUGCAUUUGAAACUGUGGUUCUGGAGUACUGGAGAGGCAGACGGAAUUCCUGGUGUAGCGGUGAAAUGCGUAGAUAUUAGGAGGAACACCAGUGGCGAAGGCGGUCUGCUGGACAGCAACUGACGCUGAGGCGCGAAAGCGUGGGGAGCAAACAGGAUUAGAUACCCCUGUAGUC
rnacentral:rRNA from 1 species